rnacentral:rRNA from 1 species
AACGUAGGUGGCGAGCGUUAUCCGGAUUUACUGGGCGUAAAGCGUGUGCAGGCGGGUGGUCAAGUGGUGUAUGAAAGCACUGCGCUCAACGCAGUGACCGUAGGCCAGACUGACUAUCUGGAGGGCGAGAGAGGGGCGUGGAAUUCCGGGUGUAGUGGUGAAAUGCGUAGAGAUCCGGAGGAACCCCAGAGGCGAAGGCGGCGCCCUGGCUCGCACCUGACGCUCAGACACGACAGCAUGGGGAGCGAACGGGG